UACGUAGGGAGCGAGCGUUGUCCGGAUUUAUUGGGCGUAAAGGGCGUGUAGGCGGCUUGUUAAGUCUGGAGUGAAACUCCGGGGCUCAACCCCGGAACUGCUUCGGAUACUGGCGAGCUUGAGUGCUCUAGAGGGCAGUGGAAUUCCCGGUGUAGCAGUGAAAUGCGUAGAGAUCCGGAGGAACACCAGUGGCGAAGGCGACUGCCUGGGGAGUAACUGACGCUGAGGCGCGAAAGCUGGGGGAGCAAACGGGAUUAGAAACCCCCGUAGUCC
rnacentral:rRNA from 1 species